rnacentral:rRNA from 1 species
GUGAAUGAAAGUUUAUCCAUCUUAAAUUGGAAUGUUCGUGGUCUCGACUGUCCAAACCGUCGAGCAACAGUUCAUGAAACAAUCGCCGCUACCUCUUGCAACCUCGUUUGUCUACACGAGACGAAAUUAGCCGCAAUUGACCCUUUUGUGGCUUCUUUCCUGGGAGGCCAAAGACUGAAGAACUUUGCUGAAAAACCAGCGGAUGGCACCAAGGGGGGCAUUCUUCUCCUCUGGAAUGAAGACUUCAUGAAGGUGGACAACAUCCACAUUGGCACAUUCUGCAUCUCCUCGAACGUCUCUAUCGUCAAUACACCAGUCUCCUUCAAGCUCACUUCUGUUUAUGGGCCUACUAGAAGUAAUCUGAAAGACUCUUUCUUCCAAGAGCUUGUGAGCAUAAAACCUCCUCGGGGCACAAGAUGGCUCGUGACGGGAGACUUCAACCAAGUUUAUCGUGCCCGAGACAAAAACCGUGCAAAUGUUGAUCGAUCUCGCUUGGUGCGCUUUCGGAAUGCCCUUAACUCCUGUGAGCUAAAAAAUUCCAUGAACAGAAAGUUCACUUAGAGCAACGAGCAGACCAACCCGACCUUGAGCAAAUUAGAAUCUUUUUUCUGCAAUGAGGAUUGGGAUCUCGAUUUCCGCACACACAUUCUCCAUGCGCUCUCAUCCUCACUCUCGGACCAUUGCCCACUCCUCUUGGCUAGUGACAAGUGACCAAAACGACCAAGAUCUUUUCGGUUCGAGAACUUCUGGAUUAAAAUGCCCAACUUCAAAAAAAUCGUCCAGGAUGCCUGGGCUGAGGAAACCACCCACUCCGAGCCCUGUCAGGUGCUUUUCCACAAGCUUAAGAGGACGAGCCAAUGCCUUCGCAAAUGGAGCAGGUCCAUCUUCUCGAACCACAAAAUCCAACUUCACAUGGCCCUUGAGAUCAUCCUCCAUCUUGACAUCGCGCAAGAGCAUAGGGCAUUGUCGACGAGCGAAUGGAAUCUGAGAAAGGAUCUUAAGAGAAAGGUUGUGGCCCUGGAAGUUCUUGAGAGGGCAAGGAGACGACAAAGCUUAAGAAUUAAGUUGCUCAAAGAAGGGGAUGCA